CUUUAUAAGGUGGAAGCCCAAACACAGAUUCCUGCCUGCUCAUUGAGGUUGCUGCAUCUGGGACACUCUGUGAGGCUCUGCACCGCAGCUUGUUUGGCAGUCCAUCGGCUGGAUCCAGCCUUCCUUGGAGACGAUGGACUGAACCGUUAAACCAUUGUCAGUGAUUGGGCAGUGCCCCGCCUUCCUCCUGCAGCCACUGCGGUCCACACAUCUACAGCUCUGCAUCUGUUAUGCUUUGUUUUGUGUUAAUUAACGCUUUUAACUGUCCCACUGUCUGUCUCACCUUGAAUACUGGGUCCAUCUGUUCCUGUCAUGACACAGAGAUCUUAUAAUGUCAGAGUUCAUUGGCAUAGAACUUAUUGUCAAGUAUUGGAUAGCAUAUGUAUUGGGUUUGAGCAGUGCAGCAUAAUGCAUUCGGCAAAUUAUCUCCUCAUUACCAGCCUCAUCUAUUGGAAGAAGGCUAGAUAGAUCCCUGUUUUCCUGUGGUUUAUGCAAUAUUUAGAUUGUACUAUCCAAAUGUCAUCACUGAAAUCAAGUCUUAUUGGGCCAAGCAAUUGUUCCAGUCUGUUACUGUCCAAUUAUCACAAGUCUUUGUAAAUUGUUGCCUCAGAUUCCCCCUCUUGGCUGAAAGCAGUGGCAACAAGAAUGGAUUUAUCUUGCUGUAGCCCAUCUGCUUCAAAAUUUGACAAGCUGUUCAUUUAGUUAAAUGUUUUUUUGAGCUUACAUUGCCUUUUUAGAGUAUUUCAUAACAAAUCUGUAUAUUCUCCAGUGGCAAAUACAAGGAUUUUUCAUCAACACUAAUGUUGAUCAGUGGCUUUUUCUUUCUCAUACAAUUCUCUGUAUACCCAAAACAACAGAAUAAAUAGUUGAGAAUUAUGGGGUUGCAACUGACCCCAAUGCAGACACAAGGAAGAAUUAUGGCGCUUUAAAUAUUAAUAAUCUCAGA